rnacentral:rRNA from 1 species
AAUAUCUUUGAUUUUGGGUUAUUAAAAUAGUUAAGAAUUUUUUACAUGUAGAUAAAAUCUGAUAACUUAAGCAGUAAUUAAUUUUAUAAAAUGUUAAAAUGAUAUAGAAAUUAAUAAAUUUUGAUAAAAUAUGUGCCAGCUUUCGCGGUUAGACAUAAGAAAAAUAUUUUAAAGAUUUUAAAAAAUACACAAAAGAACUUUAAAGAAUGACUUAGGUAAAAUUAAUAAUUUUUUAAAAAGUUUAUUUUAUAAAAUUACAAAAUGUAAAUAAAAACCAGGAUUAGAUACCCUGUUAUUUACAAUAAUAAAUAAAGUAGUACUAAGGAAACUUAAAAAAUUUGGCGGUAAAUUAUAUUUUUAGAGGAACCUGUUCUAUAAUUGAUAACCCACAGGAUUAGUACUUUAUUUUAAUUAUUUAUAUAUCGUUGUCAGGGAGUUAAUUAAUAAUUUAAUUCAUGAGUUUAAAAUUAAAAGAGAUCAAAUCAAGGUGUAGUUAAUAAUAAAGAAGAGAUGGGUUACAAAUAUUAAAAAUUAUAGAAAAUAAUUAAAAAAUUAAGAAAAAGGAUUUAAUAGUAAAUAUUGAAUUUAUCAAUGUAUGAAGAUUAAACUAGUUUAUGUACACAUCGCCCGUCAUUCUCGUUAGGAAAAUGAGACAAGUCGUAACAAAGUAGAUCUGCUGGAAGGGGGGUCUUGAUUA